GAUGGAGGUCGAAUACCCCAGGGGCUCCCGGAGAACAGACCCGCGCAUCAUCUGAUGGGGUGAAGGGUUGGGGAGAGGAAAGGAGGAGAGCGCAAGAGGAGUCUGGCGCCUGCGCCAUUAAAUCGCCCCGGACCGCCCGGAGCCCGGCCGUGGAGUCUGCGGACAGGGGCGCGGGGAUUACAGAAAGCCUCCCAAUUGGACCUUAGUCACCAUCAACAGGUACCACUGCUCACCUGGGGACAGGUGCUACCUCAAGGGCAAUCAGAGUGCGGAGCGCUGAGAAGGUUGCUUCAUUUCUUGGAGACUUGGCAUGACACAUAUUAGGCAGCAUCACUCUAAGCCCCUGGAAACUGGGAGCCCAGGAGCCACACCAGGUCCUAAUGAAAUUCCAAGGCAAGGACGGUAAUGACCAAGGAGCUAACUGAUCGGAAUGGUCUCUCCUCUCAGCAAGCGGGACACGGUGUUCUGUGGCCGUGCCCGCUGCCGGCCAAGGCUGCCUUCCAGGAGAGACUCCUCCCGGGCGUGUGCAGGGGGUCGGCCUCAGCGGGCGUGGCUCCAUUGGUUUUGAGGUGAAGGGGCUAUUUUCUAGGCUUUCAUCCUAAGAACUGUAAAAUGGAGACAACAUGGGACUUCACUCAACCCUGUCUGUUAGAAAUAGUGACAAUUCUUGAAUUAAGAAUUAAGAGCAUUUAGGAGAGUGGCCUAGUAAUAACAAAUGACAGGCUAAUAUUUAUUGUGUUGAUUGUGUCAGGCACUAUUCUAAGCACUUUUUCAUGUGUCAUCUAACUGAAGUUUUCAACUUUAUGCCGGAGGUGUGGGUAUUAUUCGGGUGGUCCAUCUGUAUUUCCCGGGUCCUUUCAUCUGCAUCCACUCCUGUGGUUGCCUGGCACACCUUCUCCUCUCUCCCUAAGCCUCUGCACCACCUUCCUCAUUCUCGCUCUCACCCGAUGACUUCUCUGAGAAACGAAAAGCAACCAGAGCAGAGCUUCCGCACCUGCAUAUCUUCUACCACCGUGUUGCGUCAACACGAUACCAUCUACCCUCCCUCUCAUCCAUUCCCCUGGACGAGCUGCAGCCCUGGAACUUGUGCACUAGACUGUCCCUGGCCUCGCCUACUCCAGGGCAGUGGUUCAGCCCUGCUCCUCUCCUGCAUCAUCAAAAUGUUGCUCUCUGCUUGUUCCCUCCCAGCAGCCUGCCAACACACUUUAAUUUCUCCUACUUUAAAAAAUUCGUCUCUUCACAGAUGUAGAGAACAAACGUAUG